rnacentral:rRNA from 1 species
GAUGAACGCUGGCGGCGUGCCUAAUACAUGCAAGUCGAGCGAACAGACGAGGAGCUUGCUCCUCUGACGUUAGCGGCGGACGGGUGAGUAACACGUGGAUAACCUACCUAUAAGACUGGGAUAACUUCGGGAAACCGGAGCUAAUACCGGAUAAUAUAUUGAACCGCAUGGUUCAAUAGUGAAAGACGGUUUUGCUGUCACUUAUAGAUGGAUCCGCGCCGCAUUAGCUAGUUGGUAAGGUAACGGCUUACCAAGGCAACGAUGCGUAGCCGACCUGAGAGGGUGAUCGGCAACACUGGAACUGAGACACGGUCCAGACUCCUACGGGAGGCAGCAGUAGGGAAUCUUCCGCAAUGGGCGAAAGCCUGACGGAGCAACGCCGCGUGAAUGAUGAAGGUCUUCGGAUCGUAAAACUCUGUUAUUAGGGAAGAACAAAUGUGUAAGUAACUAUGCACGUCUUGACGGUACCUAAUCAGAAAGCCACGGCUAACUACGUG